UGGGGAAUAUUGCACAAUGGGCGCAAGCCUGAUGCAGCGAUGCCGCGUGAGGGAAGAAGGUUUUCGGAUUGUAAACCUCUGUCAUCAGGGACGAAAAAGGACGGUACCUGAGAAGGAAGCUCCGGCUAACUACGUGCCAGCAGCCGCGGUAAUACGUAGGGAGCAAGCGUUAUCCGGAAUUACUGGGUGUAAAGGGAGUGUAGGCGGGACUGUAAGUCAGAUGUGAAAUAUGCCGGCUCAACUGGCAGACUGCAUUUGAAACUGUGGUUCUUGAGAGUCGGAGGGGUAAUUGGAAUUCCCGGUGUAGCGGUGAAAUGCGUAGAUAUCGGG
rnacentral:rRNA from 1 species